UACGAAGGGGGCUAGCGUUGUUCGGAUUUACUGGGCGUAAAGCGCACGUAGGCGGAUCGUUAAGUCGGGGGUGAAAUCCUGGAGCUCAACUCCAGAACUGCCUUCGAUACUGGCGAUCUUGAGUCCGGAAGAGGUGAGUGGAACUCCUAGUGUAGAGGUGGAAUUCGUAGAUAUUAGGAAGAACACCAGUGGCGAAGGCGGCUCACUGGCCCGGUACUGACGCUGAGGUGCGAAAGCGUGGGGAGCAAACAGGG
rnacentral:rRNA from 1 species